ensembl:snoRNA SNORD33 Small nucleolar RNA Z195/SNORD33/SNORD32 family
ACUGUCCGUGAUGUCCCUUUUAUCCACGUUGCUUGAGUUUUAAUUGCCAUGAGAAGACUUGCAUGCACUACCAUCUGAGAUGGU